CACAAUUAGCAACUACUUUAUGACUUUAAGUCAGAAGUGGUCACUGACACUCACAGAGAUGCAGGUAGGCAUCUCUGUGAGGAGACAUAAUUCUGUAACAUGGUUAAAAUAGCUCUAGAAAACUAACUCUUAAAAGAGAUGCCCACGGAAAUCUCAUUAGUGUGUCUCAAUGGAAGGCAGUGUUUACAGUCUCUUCUCACUCAUCUGCAAGCUUGAGGCCACACAGUGUGGGAGGCAUUCCUUUCUGAUUCCCACAAUGUCGUUUUAAAGAUGUUACCACUUUGACCUGUCCCUGCUGCUUCAGCCAUGGUCCCUUCAGGCACCUCUGAUUUCCCAUCACCCACUGCCUGUAACGUCAAAGCUCUCCAUUUCCAAGCCAUAACCAGACUGGCCAUCAGGCUGGCGGAGGGUAUGGAGACUGAAGACAGAAUGGGAGCUCAGACACUGCCCGUGCGUGGCACCUUCAUUCCUUACAACCAGACCGCCUCAUCUGCAGACGGAAUUGCCACAUGGGCUCUUUGACGCCACACCUACCCUGUGACGCAGAAGGGCUUUGUGAUGCAGUCUGGUAGCUUGGUUCCGCCGUCUGUGAGGCGGAGACGGAUGUGUAGCCUUGGAAGUCAGUAGGUGCCAGGACUCUGAAUGCCUACAUUCAUAGGGAUGGUUGGUCUCCUCGUGAUUAUGAGGUUUAGACCAUGCUGAGCCAGACUUUUGUUCUGUGGGAUUUGGGGUAUCCCUUAUAUACCUAUGGCUCCAUCUUCAUUAUUAUUCUAAUCAUCUGGCAAGUGAAAAAGAGUUACCAUGGAUUAACGGAACAUAAAAGGAGCUGCUGCCGGCGUCACCGAAAAGUCAGGCAAAGGGCUAGAGAUGCAGCAUCAAGAGCUAGGAGACAUUCCCAGAAAGAAGCUGACAAGCUGUGGGAGCUGCUCUCAGUCAUGAGAAGCCAGGGCUGGCUACCUCAGGAGGGGAGUGUGCGGCAGAUCCUUUGUACAGAUCCCUGCUGCCAAACCUGCAACACCAUGGCUCUGGAGAUUCAGCAGUUGUUGGGUGAGAACACCCUAAUCUCCCCCACUUCAGGGGAUACCUCUCAGGGCUCCUCUUGCCUAGAGGUUUUGUCCAUGUCUAAUGUGUCUUUUGAGCAGAGUCUGGAGCAUCGUUCCCCACACUCCAAAGACCUUUCACUUCCAUCUGCAACCCUCACAGUGUCACAGAAAUCCUUAGCCCAGUCAGCGGCCCAGUCACCUGGUGCAGCCGGCAUCCAUGAUUACUGGGCUGAACAUCUCAAGCUAAGGCAGGGAUUCCAAGUGCUAGAGGUCCCCUCAGGGACUGAGGAGCCUAGAAUUUCAGUGAAUCUGCAGGAGACGAUGCAGAGUAACCUCAGCCUCAUCUGUGGGAACCAAGUCCAGCAGCCCUUAAAUCCUCAGGUCUCUCUGCUGACCCUGAAACAAGAAAUUACUGCCCUGACACAUCCAGUGGCCUUGCCGAUGGUCACUGUCCUCCCUGCCCACCUGCCGUUCCUGAGUCCUGAAGUCCUGAGACUUCUUGAGGUCCAUGUGAAGAAAUGGAUGCAUUUCCAGAGGUGGGGGCUCCCCAGGCGUGUAGAAGAGUCCCUGAGGAAGCUGAUGCCAAACCCGCCACUAUUUUACCAAACUGUAUGUAACCAACCAGUUUCUUUCAUCCACAAUAAUAUUUCACAUUUCUCUGUUGAGAAACUUGGGGCCAUUUCAUACCAGAACUGGGGCUCAGGUAUGGCUGGCCAGCCUACUCAGGCCUUCUGGGUUUCUGAAUGGUGCAUUACGGAUCCAGAACAAAGACACCUCUACCAGCAAAUCCCCAACCAUAAGGCUUUAGCCUGGCCCUCUUCAGCCCUUAAAGAAUUAAGUGGCCUCUAUCUAAUGUCUGAGCAACAGGCUAGUGACUCAGUGGGCCCCAUGCAGCCAAAAUACAGCCAGCUAUUCUGUGGCCUGCCUUCUCUGCACAGUGAGUCGCUGGUUGACACCUUCUUGGCUUCUCAAGGCCUCUGCAAGGAUGAGAGCAUGUCCAAGCCCCACUUGAAGGAUCCCUUUCUCCUCAAGGAACUCUCCUUCCUCCCUUUGCUGCCUAAAACUCCAACCCAGUCAACUCCACUCUCUCCUCUGUCUUCUCAAAAUUGUGUUGCUCCAUCUGAUCACCAGCAAGCUCACAUCAGUGUCCCAUUUCUGACUCUGGACGAGUGUGAAGCCCUGGAGUGGCACCUGCUGCAGAGGCAGCUCCAGCUUCAGUGGGACUUGCCAGAUGUUUUCCAGAGAGAUCAACAUGUCCAGAGCCCCGUGCAGUGUCAGCCCGGUGACAAAGCCCAGUCUUCUGAGACUCUGAAAACUUCCUGGCCGGGGCAGCCUGUCCCAGGCCUCACAAGGGAACUACUCUUCCCGCAGCACACCAGGCGGCUGCUGGAAUACCACCUCCAGAGACAGCUGAUUCACCACCGCUGGGGCCUGCCCCAGAAGAUCCAGCAGUCCAUCCAGUUGCUCCUGUCCCCCACUAACCAGCAGACGGUGUCCUGGAGCAGCACAGCCCUGGGCGGUGUGAAUGGCCCCCAGCCUACAUGUCUGGAGGCCACUGGAGCUGAUGACCCAUUCUCACCUAUUGUGGACCCAUUGUCUGUCCCCAUGCCACACUUGUUUGACCAGGCCAAGGCAAUAUUGCGGGGCCAUAUCAACUCCAAAUGUGGGCAAAUUCACCAGGGCAACAUCCCUGCCUGUGUGUAUAGUUCUUGGGAGUGCAUAAUUCCUGGGGUCCUAGAAGUGACUCCCUUCCACUGCAUCCUGGAAAGCAAGCCCCUGGAACUCCAGGCAGCAGCUGACGAGGAGCCUCAACAGGAAGUGACACCCAGGAUGCCAGUGGCCCUUGAUCAGCAGCAGCAGGUCUCACCAAAAGCUGUCUUUGAACAUCCUAAGCUGCCCGGAGUCCUGUCAGAGGCAGCCCUUGAGAAACUGGAGACAGCUUUGCGGCACAAGUAUCUGGCCUUCCUGUCAGGGCUGCCGGCUCUUUAUUGUGUGGCUCUCUCCAGGGCCAUGGCCCCAGCAACCACGUCAAUCACGUCCCCAGCUGUGAUCACAGAGAUGGUGCCUGAGCCUGCUGAAUUCUCAACAGAACCUCUGACUCAGGUGACCUCGCCUGAAGAGCAGGGUCCAAGUCCUGGGCCAGGCCUUCAAGAGGCCAAUGAGACUCUUUCAAACACUGCAGAAGAAUUCCAGGUUGAUGAGCAGGUGGAAGGAGUAAUUGAGAUGCUGCCUAUAGAAAGCCAGACAGAGUCUGAGAGGCCCUCUUUACUCGGGGAACACAUCUUGGCCAAAAUGAAUUUCCAUCUGAGAAAGAAGAUCCUAGAAGCACAAAUUGGAAUUCCCAUAAAGGCGAGAGAGUCUAGGGAACAAAGUGUAGGAACAUCAGAGGAUGUAUGUACACAGGAGUCUCUUGAGAGUUUAAACAACCAAGGACAACCACUGCUCCAGGAACUCCCCAUCCCACCAGAUGUGCCGUGUGCCCCAGACCCAGAGUGGCUCCACCUCAAAGAACAGCUGGCCACUGAGUUAAAGGCGGUGCACCAGAAACAGAAGCAGCCCAGUUCCAGCAUAGUACCCCAUAGUUCUGGCCCCUGGGCUUCCAGCGCCUUACUCAGUGGGGACAUGACAGAGGCCCAGGUGCUUUGUGUUCAGCUGGAGGCCAGUGUGAACAACCCCAGUCUGGAGGAGCCUUGGAGCCCUGAGCCCCAUAGCCCUGACAAGAGCAAGGACUCAGCCCAAGUCCCCACAUUGGCAGAAAAGAGAGAGGAGUCAGGCAAACCCAGAUUGGCUGGGGACCAUGGAGAAGGGGAUGCCGGGUUCACACUCUCCUCCACGAGAGAAAAAAGCCACUCUGUUGAAGGCCAGAGGCCAGAAGGGAUACUUCUGAACAGGACACCCCGCAGCCCCUGGCAACAGAGACGUCGCUUUCACCCUGAUGCUUCCUGUCAACACAGUCCUCGGCAUUGCCCUCCGCCUAAACUCCCAGAGCUCCCUCCUGGAGUCCCUGGGGGGAAGGAUUCUGAGAAGAAGGACCUGCAGGACAGUCAAGCCAAGCUCAGUGUCACCCUCAAACCAGCAAGGGUUCCUGAGAAUGCCCAGCCUGUGGUGCCCCAAGUGUCACGGGGCCAGCCUUUCCUGGGCCAGCUCACAGGGGGUAAACCAUUGCAGGGCCGAGCUUUACAAGGUCAGGUCUUCCAGAGGCAGGUGGUGCAAGGUCAUCCUCACAAGAGGCCCAGCCUUCCAGAAUCUGGCCUGAGAAAUAAGAUGAAAUCUCUUCUGCAUUGUAUUACACCCAAGGCAAAAGGCAAAGGGCAUGAGGCAUCUAUGUCCUCUACCUCUGAGAAAGUGGCCUGCCCCAGAAGAGAAAAUGUGGAAAAAAUCUCAGCUCCAGCCAAAAGUCCCAAGGGGCGAACUAAGACAGGGAAUUCAAGAGGGGGCCCCAAGGCCCAGUUUCCACCCCCUGAGAAGCAGAUGGGCCUAGCUUGCAUGGAUGUUGCCCACUCCCCAGACAGUAAGCUCCGGCACCACUCCCACCCCCAUCAACUGCACUUGGGCUCAGUCCUGGGCGCCCCCCGCCACUGCCCGCGGCACUGUCCGCGAGGGGCUUGUGCCACCCCACCAAAGAGCCCACCCUAAGCCUCAGCUCUCGCCUUGGAAGGAAACUGGUCUGCACAGGAAGACCCAACACAGUCAGAAGACUUUGUAGUCUCCCCAGUGCCUGCAUCCUUUGAGGAGGAAUGCUCCUGUCAUUUUUAUUAAUGUGCAGGCUUUUCCAGACACCCACUGUCCUACUUUAACUUGGAAAAACUUAACCAAUCCUUUAAGGCAAGGUGGAAAUGUGCCCUUGGCUGACGUCUCCCUCCUCUUCCUCUAGAAGCAGAGUUUUCUACAACCUCUAUGUGUUAUUCUACUUUCCCUGCCCUGAAAUAGGUAUGUAUGACUGUCAGUGGUGGGAUCAUGCAUCCAUAAAAGCACAGUGUCUGGUCCAUAAUAAUCACUUAAUAUGUGUUAAAUUGAGCUAACCUAAUGAAUUAAACUGGCAUAAGGUAAAUAUGCUGACUAGCUAGAUAAUAGACGAUUCAUUAUUCAGCCAACCCUUAUUUAGGAUUCAAUAGAAUCACAGGUAUCUGAAAGAUAAUCUAGUUCUGGUUCUUAUAUUUUGUAUUUUAUGGAGAAUUUAAUUUGAAGAAAGGCUUCUACAGCAUAAAACAGCAUGAAAGCCACUGAUACUGGACAAACUAUUU